rnacentral:rRNA from 1 species
AUGUAUCCAAAGGGGUCUCCAAAGUAUAAUGUGAUGAAAGCAAGUGGGAGAAAAGCUUCACAUGGUGCCAAGAAGCCAUCACCCAAAAUUAAAAAGACACCUCCAAGAGUUAAAAAGCCAAGAGCUCAAUGGAACCCAGCUUUGGAGAAGGGUUUAGUGGAGAUACUUCAGGAGCACAACACUCCGUAUCAUCGAGGACAAAAUGGUUGGUCAACUGAAGCAUGGAAUAGGAUGGCGGAUUUGUUUCAUGAAAGAUAUGGUCACACAAAUUUUACAAAGUCACAGAUUCAGGAAAAACAGAAAGACUUGAAAGGUCAAUACAGACUUCUUAAGGAUGCCCGCAAACAGAGUGGUGUCAGCUGGAACUAUCAUACACACAUGAUAGAUGCGGACGCUAAUCUUUGGCAAAACUUGAUGACUUCGUGGCCAGAAAUAGCUAAGGUCCAGAAUAAGCCGUUUCCCCUCUACGAUAAGCUUGGU